AAACGAUACUGUGAGCUGUAACUCCCAUCAAUCUAAGCCAGGCUUCAGUGACAAUAAUUACCGUCCAUAGCAUCCCGUGUCUUCACUAAAUUUCGGCAAAAACAGCUGAUCUGAACAAUAUCUCCAACUCCGCUAUAGUCACAGCUCUGCUGUUUUGUGUAAUGUGUUCCGAUUCUGUGUUUGGUGAAUACAGUGUGUCCGGGAUAACACACAUAUCUCAAAGAAAAAAAAUAUAAGUAAGUCAAUAAAAGUGACACUUAGCGCCGUAACAUGAAUUCUUGUUUAAUGGACGUGAGUUCUAUAAUCUGUACCCUCAGCCCUGGUUCCCAAGAACACGGCUGGAGAGAACAAGGAGUUUGAUUUUACGGCAGCGAGCAUUCCUCACUUUCAAAAAUAAAAAGAUUCACUUGGAAGAGAGUGAUUUAAGUUUCUUUUUGACUGUAAAAAUGAGAGUUCCUGCCACGGAACCUGGAGGAAG